AAAAGUGGCGCACGGGUGCGUAACGCGUAUGCAACCUACCUUUAUCAGGGGGAUAGCCUCUCGAAAGAGAGAUUAACACCGCAUAAAAUCACAAGCUGGCAUCAGCAAAUGAUCAAAUAUUUAUAGGAUAAAGAUGGGCAUGCGUGACAUUAGUUUGUUGGUGAGGUAACGGCUCACCAAGACUACGAUGUCUAGGGGAUCUGAGAGGAUGACCCCCCACACUGGUACUGAGACACGGACCAGACUCCUACGGGAGGCAGCAGUAAGGAAUAUUGGUCAAUGGGGGCAACCCUGAACCAGCCAUGCCGCGUGCAGGAAGACGGCCCUAUGGGUUGUAAACUGCUUUUAUACCGGAAUAAACCCCCGAUCGUGAUCGGGGCUGAAUGUACGGUAAGAAUAAGGAUCGGCUAACUCCGUGCCAGCAGCCGCGGUAAUACGGAGGAUCCAAGCGUUAUCCGGAUUUAUUGGGUUUAAAGGGUGCGUAG
rnacentral:rRNA from 1 species